CCCGUGCUCCCAAAGUCCCGUCUCUCCUCUUUGCCUCCUUAGUUCCGUACUCUAGUAGGCUAGCGGCAGUCUUUGGGUGUCCUAGCUAAUCCUAUGAGAUUGUUGAUAAUUAACAUGUGUAGAUAGAUGCGCUCUGUUAUGAACUUUUGAUAAUUAACCUAUGGUCGUGUUUGGUUACAACAGUAACCAUUUCGCGAAAAGGGAAUCUUGUCCGCAUGGAGUACUAAAUGAAGUCUAUUUGCAAAACUUUUUUAGGGAUGAGUGUAACUUUUCGCAACAAGUCUAAUGACGGUAAUUAAUCCAUGAUUUACUACAGUGAUACUACAGUAAUUAUCCUCUAAUCACACGGUCAAAGACCCCAUUAGAUUCAUCUCGCGAUUUACACGGGGGGUUGUGGAGGUUGUUUUGUAAUUAGAGUUUAUUUAAUACUCUAAAUUAAUGGUCAAAGGUGCGAAAAGUUUCCGCGAAAUUUUUUACACCCCCAAACCAAACACAGCCAUAGUGAUAUGUGCCAUUUCUUGUUAUGUUCUAGCAAAAAAGGAAGAUUAUUGGCCCAGGGUGUUAAUCUUAGUGUUUUCGUUGUAUGCGUUUGUUCAAAUCCUUAGGUUCUAUCUGUUAUGAACUAUAGAUUUAGCUUGACCUCUGGAGGAAUGGAUGGUAUACUGGUAUCUUCCUAUUUCAUGAUUUCAUUAAUCUGCAACUGAAACUGAAUUUCAAAUACUAUAAAUGAACAUCAGUAUAGUAUUGUAAUGUUAGCACCUUCAUUGUAUCUUCUCUUAGCUUGGCAUUUUCCCAGGGCCUCACUUUUGUUGUGGACAACAGUGACAGAGUGCAGCUGAGGCUAGGGAUUGAGCUCUACUAAUUAGAGAUAUUAUUAGAUGUGGUUGGAUAAGAUAGAUUGGAUCUUGUUUAGGAGUCAAGUCAUCCUCUCUAUUUGAGGCGAAGCAUCAAUCACAUUCAAGCAAUCAAGAAGAAUUAAUGCCGAGUCCCCCAAUAGUCUUGUCUCCCACCAAGCCAACUCUGGCCGGCCAUCUUGCCAGCGGUGUUUACGAUUUACCCAUAAUGAGCUAAGGUAAAUCAUUUGGACAAGGAGAUUCCUUUUGAGAAAUUGAAACCUGAAUUUAAGUCAAGUUUGGGAUUGACAGCUGGGCGCAUCCUUAUUUGCAGACCAUGUAUCAAAUGUUAGAGCGAAAACGGCCUUCUGUAUACUGUCGGAGACGUACCAAAAGGAUCUCUCAGUUUUUGACCGAACUUAUCACACACAAACCAUAUAUUAAGUGUACUGAUUCUUGUGAAGAUGCUUUGGAAAGUACCUGGGAAAUAUUUGAAUCACUGUAUGGCCCUAUACAGUGCGAUCUGUCAGGUGCAGUUGAGAUUUUCUGUGGUUCAAUAUUGUUUUACAGGGAGCCUCGGUUUCAUCCUUUGAUACGUGAGAGUCACAAGGAACUACUGAAAACACUAGCUGAUCAGUUUUCCUUAGCAGAAAGGAGUGCAAUGUCUGAGCCACUGGAACCAGACUUAGAUGAUUUCUUGGAGCAUUUGCGGCCUUAUGCAUUGAUGUAUAUUAAGAGAAAGAAGGAAGAAUCUGGGGAAGCAUAAAUGCUGCACUUGGAAUCAUGACUGAGGAUGACUUGGAAAUAGCACUACUGCACUACUAGUUCUUGACUGAGCAGAGCGGUGACUACUUUGUGUUGGGUAUUGUGCAGCAGGCAGUAAGUGCUCGAUGAUAACUUCUAUAGAUGUCCUGAAGUAGGUAGGAGAAUCAGCAAAAGGUGCAAGCAAUUGGCAAGAUUGAAAGUUUGACCAAGGCAGUAACCAUUGAGAAUGAGUAGGCAAUUUCUUCAUCUCAUGCUACUUUCUAGAUUCAUGAUGAAUGGUCCAUUGUUUAGUGAUUUGGACAUGUGACUUGGCUAUCUUGUUUGAUAUUGUAUUUUCCUUAAGACUAUGUAUUGCCUAGUAUGAUUGUGCUACUGUAUUUGUGCCACCAGGAUUAAUAAAUGAUAAAUGUGGCAAUAUUUAUGUUGAUUUUUUGUGAA